UACGUAGGGGGCAAGCGGUUGUCCGGAUUUAUUGGGCGUAAAGAGCGUGUAGGCGGCCUGACAAGUCUGCUGUGAAAACUCGAGGCUCAACCUCGAGAUGUCGGCGGAAACUGUCUGGCUAGAGUCCGGAAGAGGAGAGUGGAAUUCCUGGUGUAGCGGUGAAAUGCGCAGAUAUCAGGAAGAACACCUAUGGCGAAGGCAGCUCUCUGGGACGGUACUGACGCUGAGACGCGAAAGCGUGGGGAGCGAACAGG
rnacentral:rRNA from 1 species